rfam:Ramazzottius varieornatus DNA, contig: Scaffold005, strain: YOKOZTNA-1.
GCCCGGCUAGCUCAGUCGGUAGAGCGCGAGACUCUUAAUCUCGAUGUCGGGGGUUCGAGCCCCCCGUUGGGCG